CGGGACACGUGGUAUCCUGUCUGAAUAUGGGGGGACCAUCCUCCAAGGCUAAAUACUCCUGACUGACCGAUAGUGAACCAGUACCGUGAGGGAAAGGCGAAAAGAACCCCGGCGAGGGGAGUGAAAAAGAACCUGAAACCGUGUACGUACAAGCAGUGGGAGCACGCUUAGGCGUGUGACUGCGUACCUUUUGUAUAAUGGGUCAGCGACUUAUAUUCUGUAGCAAGGUUAACCGAAUAGGGGAGCCGAAGGGAAACCGAGUCUUAACUGGGCGUUAAGUUGCAGGGUAUAGACCCGAAACCCGGUGAUCUAGCCAUGGGCAGGUUGAAGGUUGGGUAACACUAACUGGAGGACCGAACCGACUAAUGUUGAAAAAUUAGCGGAUGACUUGUGGCUGGGGGUGAAAGGCCAAUCAAACCGGGAGAUAGCUGGUUCUCCCCGAAAGCUAUUUAGGUAGCGCCUCGUGAAUUCAUCUCCGGGGGUAGAGCACUGUUUCGGCAAGGGGGUCAUCCCGACUUACCAACCCGAUGCAAACUGCGAAUACCGGAGAAUGUUAUCACGGGAGACACACGGCGGGUGCUAACGUCCGUCGUGAAGAGGGAAACAACCCAGACCGCCAGCUAAGGUCCCAAAGUCAUGGUUAAGUGGGAAACGAUGUGGGAAGGCCCAGACAGCCAGGAUGUUGGCUUAGAAGCAGCCAUCAUUUAAAGAAAGCGUAAUAGCUCACUGGUCGAGUCGGCCUGCGCGGAAGAUGUAACGGGGCUAAACCAUGCACCGAAGCUGCGGCAGCGACGCUUAUGCGUUGUUGGGUAGGGGAGCGUUCUGUAAGCCUGUGAAGGUGUGCUGUGAGGCAUGCUGGAGGUAUCAGAAGUGCGAAUGCUGACAUAAGUAACGAUAAAGCGGGUGAAAAGCCCGCUCGCCGGAAGACCAAGGGUUCCUGUCCAACGUUAAUCGGGGCAGGGUGAGUCGACCCCUAAGGCGAGGCCGAAAGGCGUAGUCGAUGGGAAACAGGUUAAUAUUCCUGUACUUGGUGUUACUGCGAAGGGGGGACGGAGAAGGCUAUGUUGGCCGGGCGACGGUUGUCCCGGUUUAAGCGUGUAGGCUGGUUUUCCAGGCAAAUCCGGAAAAUCAAGGCUGAGGCGUGAUGACGAGGCACUACGGUGCUGAAGCAACAAAUGCCCUGCUUCCAGGAAAAGCCUCUAAGCAUCAGGUAACAUCAAAUCGUACCCCAAACCGACACAGGUGGUCAGGUAGAGAAUACCAAGGCGCUUGAGAGAACUCGGGUGAAGGAACUAGGCAAAAUGGUGCCGUAACUUCGGGAGAAGGCACGCUGAUAUGUAGGUGAAGUCCCUCGCGGAUGGAGCUGAAAUCAGUCGAAGAUACCAGCUGGCUGCAACUGUUUAUUAAAAACACAGCACUGUGCAAACACGAAAGUGGACGUAUACGGUGUGACGCCUGCCCGGUGCCGGAAGGUUAAUUGAUGGGGUCAGCGCAAGCGAAGCUCUUGAUCGAAGCCCCGGUAAACGGCGGCCGUAACUAUAACGGUCCUAAGGUAGCGAAAUUCCUUGUCGGGUAAGUUCCGACCUGCACGAAUGGCGUAAUGAUGGCCAGGCUGUCUCCACCCGAGACUCAGUGAAAUUGAACUCGCUGUGAAGAUGCAGUGUACCCGCGGCAAGACGGAAAGACCCCGUGAACCUUUACUAUAGCUUGACACUGAACAUUGAGCCUUGAUGUGUAGGAUAGGUGGGAGGCUUAGAAGUGUGGACGCCAGUCUGCAUGGAGCCGACCUUGAAAUACCACCCUUUAAUGUUUGAUGUUCUAACGUUGACCCGUAAUCCGGGUUGCGGACAGUGUCUGGUGGGUAGUUUGACUGGGGCGGUCUCCUCCUAAAGAGUAACGGAGGAGCACGAAGGUUGGCUAAUCCUGGUCGGACAUCAGGAGGUUAGUGCAAUGGCAUAAGCCAGCUUGACUGCGAGCGUGACGGCGCGAGCAGGUGCGAAAGCAGGUCAUAGUGAUCCGGUGGUUCUGAAUGGAAGGGCCAUCGCUCAACGGAUAAAAGGUACUCCGGGGAUAACAGGCUGAUACCGCCCAAGAGUUCAUAUCGACGGCGGUGUUUGGCACCUCGAUGUCGGCUCAUCACAUCCUGGGGCUGAAGUAGGUCCCAAGGGUAUGGCUGUUCGCCAUUUAAAGUGGUACGCGAGCUGGGUUUAGAACGUCGUGAGACAGUUCGGUCCCUAUCUGCCGUGGGCGCUGGAGAACUGAGGGGGGCUGCUCCUAGUACGAGAGGACCGGAGUGGACGCAUCACUGGUGUUCGGGUUGUCAUGCCAAUGGCACUGCCCGGUAGCUAAAUGCGGAAGAGAUAAGUGCUGAAAGCAUCUAAGCACGAAACUUGCCCCGAGAUGAGUUCUCCCUGACUCCUUGAGAGUCCUGAAGGAACGUUGAAGACGACGACGUU
rnacentral:rRNA from 1 species